rnacentral:lncRNA from 1 species
UCACUACAGCAGCUCUGAUUGAUCACUGCUGUGGCAUCGGUGCGGCCAAAAAAAAAUGUUACAGAGAUGGGGAUAGACACAGACAAAGACCAUCACAUUAUAGAGUGUCAAAGAUAGACUGGGGCAGGAGUUCCCCUCACAGCGCAGUGGUUAACGAAUCCAACUAGGAACCACGAGGUUGCGGUUUGAUCCCUGGCCUCGCUCAGUGGGUUAAGGAGCCAGCAUUGCCGUGAGCUUUGGUGUAGGUUGCAGAUGUGGCUCGGAUCCCGCGUUGCUGUGGCUCUGGCGUAGGCCGGUGGCUACAGCUCCGAUUCGACGCCUAGCCUGCGAACCUCCAUGUGCCGCAGGAGCAGCCCAAAAAAUGGCAAAAAAGACCAAAAAAAAAAAAAAAAAAAAAGAUAAACUGAGGCACAUUAAACAUGUUAAGAGUUUAUUUGAGCAAAAUUUGAUUCAAAUUGGGCAGUGUCCAUUCUAGCAAAUAGAAAGGAACUCUGAGGAGCUGUGCACAAUGAUAGACUUUUCAGCCCAAAGGGAGUGGGAAGAAGGAGGUUGUUCUAGGCAAAAGAUGGGUUGGUUGUUGCAAGAUUACUGUCCUCUAGAGGAUGCUGGAUCUGUCAGGCAUAUUACCUCCCUAGCGCCGGUCACACGAUGCCUGAUUGUGUUUAAAAUUCCACUUCUGGGAAAGCCAAAACUGUAAUUAAGUCUUGGCUUGGAGUGGGGGACUUAACAGGAUCCAUUUUGGACCUGUUGUAGUGUUUCUUAGCAAGUGAUAACUAUGCAGCUUGUCAAACGAUGGAGAUACCGUGCAUAGGUUCUUGGUGAACACCGAAGGGGCACGCGAUCAACCUGAGGAUUCGGAGAGGCUUUGGGGGGGUCUCUAAUAUCAGCUAUUUUCUUCAUGGGUCAUGCCUUCGGUGUUAUAUAUGGAAAGUCAUUGCUGUACCCAAGGUCACGUAGGUUUUCUCUUCUGUUACUUUCUAGGAGUUUAUAGUUUUCCAUUUUCCACUUAGGUCAGUAACUGUUUUGAGUUAGUUUUUGCGAAGGUGUAAGUUCUGGGUCUGGAUUCACCUUAUUUUGCAUGUGGAUGUCCAGUGGUUUCAGCACUUCUUUUUUAUUAAAGAUCAAUUGACUGUAUUUAUGGGGAUCUAUUUUCAGAGAAGGUUUUCUGGGUUACUGUUUUAUGCUUACCUUUCAAAUGCAUGAAGUUAACAUUGAUUUUAAACGGUUUUGAAUAGUUAGGUGUGUAAAGAAAAGGAUGAUGCGCACAGACUGUCUUGUCCUGGCUCGUGGUACACGGUGGCCGCAUAAACUUGUGCUGUCCGUACUCCCUUCUCGUAUUUUCAUUUUUCCAUAUGUUCUUCAGAACAUCUUCCAGCAUGCUGGGGGCCAGAAGGCAUUAUUAGUGGCCUUAACGUUUUAAAGAAUUGUUAGCUCAAGAACCUAUGUCAUGAGGUUGCAGGCCAGGGAUCGACCUGCAUCUGCAUGGAUACUCAUCAGGUUUGCAACCCGCUGAGCCGCUACGGGAACUCCUGCUUAUUUUUUAUUACUGCAAACAACCUCAUUUUAAAUGAUGCAUUUGUUUCUCCAUUUAUAACUUUCCCAGGAGUGAGCAUUUUGAGGGGCCUCUGCUCAUUGGAGUCCUUAGCACCUGGUGUCCAGCAAAUGGUAGUUGCACAAAAACCACUUCUGAAUGGAAGCCUUUUCCAUGUGGCUCUCAAACCCCCCACAGUCUUCAGUGUCACCCAGCAAUAAACUGCUGGGGCAUCUGAGAGCCACCAAAUGUAGACACUGCCAGACACAAGCAUAAUGUGGCCAUGAAGAAUAAAUACUCUCCAGUUUUCUCUGAGCUCAAAGCUUGCAGAUGAUGGGUGCUCAGUGAAUAUUAAAUGCGCGAUUUGUGCCUCUUGGCUUGCUUUCUUCUGCCAGCUGGUGUUCUAGGAGGAACUGGAGGGAAGCACAGAUCCGUUCUGUUGGUUUUCAGCUCCAAGGACCCACCCCACAGCAGUUUCUAGUGACCUCGGAGGCAUCGUCACUGUCCUUUCCAUCUGUUAGCAAGCAGAGUCAAGAAUUGAGAUGACUGACGUGCUUUAAGCAAAUUGGAAAACGGCCUUCUCCUUUGUAGAUGGCCUUGGAGUCAGCUGACUGUCCGAGGUUCUUUGUGCUUUGAAAAGGGGCUGGUGGUGGUGUUCCAUCUCCAGUUGACACUAAGGGGAGGUGCAAACCCGUGAGUCCCCUCAUGAAAUAUACUUUAUAUAAUUAUUCACUCUUUUUUAUAUAUGUAUAUUCAUGUGACCGGGGGUAGAGAGAGAAACUAACUUAUUUAGGCACAAUUGUUAAUUUUCUUUUCUUUUCUGUCUACUUACUGCUUUGGAUAAACAUACUGGAAUACUGCCAAAAAUUCAGGUGGCUGAAUGCUAAUUUUGUUGAAAUUAGAUAGAACAGCCAUCCCCUGCCAAUUUUCUGUCUAAAUUAUGCAGAAAUUUGAUUCUUGCAAGACAUAAAUCUGGUCAAAAAUAGAGUCCUAAUUUUCUAGUUAGGAAGACCUUCAGCAGACUAAUUAUUCUUGCUUUGGCUUCUGCUGUUCUUAUGUAGGGAAAGAAAUCAAAGAAAAAUGAAAGGCAAUAAAAGUUACUAGUCAUUUUUCUCCUGUGACCCAAAUGUAGAUUUGCAGUGGCAAAGAACGUGACAUUCAGAACUUGUCUGCUCCGAAGCAGGAGUGAGCCUCGGAAAACAAUUAGUGCAUCUUUCAAACGUUUGGUGGUUAUUGAAUAAUUACUCACAUAAUGGUCAGUAAUGGCAUACAAAGGGUUAUCUCUUAGCUAAUCCUCAAGUAAUGGAAUUGGUGUAUCUCUGAUUUUUCCCUUAGCCUUCCAGGGUUUAGAAGAAGGAGACAGAUUUGAUUAUGGGGACCGGAGGGAGCCACUGGAGGCCAGCACCGAAAGGGGACCUUAUCUUAAGCAAUUAAUCAAGAAACUCAUAUUGUGGGACAAUUAUUCAGAGCUAAUUCUGAAAUAGCUUUAGAGCCCCAGGUCUUGAGAUAUUUUUUCCAGAAUUUUGUCAAGGUCAUUUAGAGCCACCGGGACCAUCUUGAGUUAAAGGUUUGAGUGGAGGUGUUCCUGCUCUGUACCUAGGGGUCCAUGCAGUGUGAAAACGUAACACCAGACAACUUAAAUGCAGUUGCAGUGUUUUUUUUGUUUGUUUGUUUGUUUU